AGCAAGCAAUCAAUGCAGCCACAAAGCACUCAAUCCAUAUCGAGCUCUCUGCCGAGAACGCCUGGACUCGCCCGAUGACGGCAACCUGGGAGGCCCUAGGGACAACCAGCCGCAGCGCUGCCCAGGAGGCCAUAUGGACUCUACACCUGGCUCUUAAACAUGGAUACAGAUGAGGACACUGAGCACCAGUGAAACCAAAUAAUUAGACCUGGGUCACGUGGCUAAGAAGAAGCUGCCCUCGACAGUAUCAAAGGAUACCUCGGGCUGUUGCAGCAGCUCAGCUACAGCCGGAUCUCCGGCCUCGGCCUCCCGAUUUGCCGGCCUAAUCACUUCCACCACGCUGCUUCGCAGGCCUUUGUCUCCCUGGCAACAGCAACACCAUAAACAGCUGUGGCCAGCGGCCAGUUAUUUAGCACACGCUACUCCGCAGCCAUCGUCGUUUUGUGACUUCAAGGAAACACUGCCCUGGUCACGUGAGCUUAAGAGGAAUGGAAAAUUCCAGGUCAGUGAGCAACACACCCUCCAGGUAUCCUUUCUUCAGCAGCCCUGCCUUCGGAGGCUCCCGGGCCCUUCAGUCCCACCACCUGUUAAUAUUUCACUCUGGGAAGACUUUCGGGAACAAAGAACACAGCAGUGGCCUUGAGGGGCCAAAGGUAGGCAGUCCAGGGUGCAGCCCAUAAACGGGAAAAGCGCAAAUGUGCUUUGAAGGAAAAUGCAGCAGCUUGGCCUCCUGGGAACAACGGGGAUGCUAUUCAUAGACAAGCCUGUGAUUUGCAUCUGUCUGACAUUUGAAUUAGGCUCACCUAACUGCCUUCCCCGCAGAUGUGAGUCACGCUCCUCCUUCAUAAGUGAGGAGUGGCUUGUGGGGGGCAAAGGAGAAUGCUUAUCUGGGCAUGCUGACAGAAACGUACGGGAUCAGAAAUGCCACAUGCAAGAAGGUCUCCUUCCUCAUGGCAAGGAGAGCCUAUGAUCCAGAGAACUCACCUGUGAGUCACUGCAGCUGGUCCCCCUUCAGGUGCCUCGCUGGGUUCUUCUUAGUGCUCCUCCCAGUCCAGGUUUUUGACAAGCGUGGGAGAUGAUUCGCAGCCCUCCCCCUUAGUGGCAUGGGCUCUCUUUCCACCCCUCUACUCCAGUAUUUCACGUUUUCUGCAUACAUAUGUGUCUGCUGAGCUCAUAUGGUGAACACUGAGGGGCUGAGGUCAUAGGUGAGGAAAGCUGGUAGGAUCACCCCCUAAAUCCUGGCUAUUCGUGAUCAACCCUCCACCCACACUCCUGGCACCUGGAAAGUCAGAGGUUCUAGUGUGGUUUUGAGCUGGCGGCAGGUAAGAAUCUGGGCCCACUGUAGUCAAAGGGGCCAGGUCAGUGUUUCUCAACCUUCCCAGUGCUGUGACCCUUUAAUACAGUUCCUCUGUUAUGGUGAUCUUUGACUACACAAUUACUUUUGUUGCUCCUUCAUAACUGUAAUUUUGCUACUGUUACAAAUCAUGAUGUGAAUGUCUUAUAUAUAGGAUAUCUGAUAUAUGAUCCCCGAGAAAGGGUCGUUUGACAAGCCCCCACCCCGGAGUCGUGACCCACAUGUUGAGAUCAGGUCAGGAAUUUCGGCCUAUCAAAUUCCCAUCUUUCCAGGAUCCCUGGAAGGAGUAGUCCCAGUGCCUGACUGGGAACCUAGCUCCACUCCCGAGAAUCCCGAUGGUUCAGGUUCAUCUUGGGUCCAGAAAAAGAACUCUAGCUCUGUACCCAAAAGGAAGUGACCUCGGGAGUAUGUGAGACCUGAGCAUCAGCGUAGGCGAGGUUGGUCUCCCGUGGGGUCACUCCGCGCCCCCUGAACUGCCUGCCUCACCAACCGUGAGCCCAGAGAGCAUGAGGACUGUCAGUGUACCAUGAUGCUGGGGCCACGGCCAUGUACAUCUCUACACGCCUUGGCUGUGCUUUGGUGUUUCUCAUCGAGGAAACACCGUUGAUGGACUGUAGUCUCAGAUGGAAAUACGCCACGCCUGUAUCUCCAUGUGCGGG